AGUUCGUCUUCUCUGCAGCAGCCAAUUCAUUUGUGUUAUCUGUGUUCCGAUUCAUCUCGAGUAUGCUCAUUGCCUCAUUCUUCCUCGCCUUCAAGCCAAACGCAAACGAGACACUUCAACUGCUCCAAUCCAUGUUUGACGUGCUUCCACACGAUAUCACAGUCGAAUGAAACGGUCGAGAUUGCGUCUUCAUCCGUAAGAAUUGUUCCUGUUCUCCGUUAUUAAAUAAUUAUUUGACGAAUAUGACGUUUACAAUUAGGGAAAACAGAGGAUCUCUUCACGAUAUUAAGAUCGAUGCAUACAAGGGUUUAGCUUUUCUUCCUAAUUAUACUAGGGCGGCUAGAGCUGGAUCAAUUGUUUCGUUAAAUCUGUUUUGUGGAUGUUCGAGUGAGUUGCGGAACUACCCGAUGGGUUACGUGAUGGGAGAGAGUGAUAGUAUUGAAUCUUUAGCAAUUAGAUUUGGGUCUGGGAAACUUAUUAUUGAAGAUGAUGAUGACAAGGAUGACGAUGAUGAGGAUGAUGAUGACAAAGAUGAAGAUGACGUUGAAGAUAAAUUGUACAGAUUGAUUCAAAUUCCAGUCUCUAUUGUUCAAAUACACAUUUGUUUAAGACUGAGCUCUCUAGGGUUCUAUAUGAAAUCAAUAUUGAUGUUAAUUAGCUUUCAUGCUAUCAUAUUCUGUGAACUGUGUUUGAGAGAUGUCAGACAUUCAAAAGAAAUGAUUUCCUUACAAAAUUUAAAGAAUACUCAAUUAACUAAUUUGUUUUUCAAGUACAUGUAAUGAAGAAGAUUAUGUUUGACUAAAUGUGACAACAUUUUGAGAAGAUGGCAGGUCAAGUUGAUGCAACUAGCAGAUUAAAGCAAAGCAGAAGCGAGAAAAAGAGCAGGAAGGCAAUGCUUAAGCUUGGAAUGAAGUUCAUUCCUGGUGUCAGCAGAGUUACUGUGAAGAAGAGCAAAAAAACAGAUUUGGAGUUCUAAACUGCAACCCAUCAUCCAAAGAGUUCUUUCUGUUCAUUUUUUUGGAUCAUGUGGGUAAAGAGAUUAUGUAAAAAGAUAUAUGCCUGUCAUGGGGUUGCUGUUUCUUCAUUUAUUACCUGAUGAGCUCUUGAAAUAGAAGAUAAUACUACUAAAGAGAAGAGAGGAGGCUGAAAGUGAAAGCAAUCAUAAAAAUCUUAGUGAGCAAUGGUGACUGGAAAAUGGUAUAAGAAGAGGAGCUGUGUUUAAUGGGAGAAAUCAGGUCUGGAAAUCCCUUUUUUUUAUUAUUCAUUAUUUAUCAUUCAUUAUUAAAUGGCAUCAAUUGGUUUGUUCAUCAAUGGGUCAGGUUUUAUUUAUGCUGAAAUGGCAGAAAUGCCCAUUUCUGACAUCUAUUAGUAUUAUUUUGAUGGCUAAUCAAAUAGGGUCACAAGUAUGAUUAAUGGAGCGAGGUUAAUAGAGUAAAUUAACGGGGAGUUAGAAUAAUGAAUGUGGUUGUUGUUAACAGGGUUGAAGGUUGACUUUGGUAUAGUGUAUUCAUUUAUGAGCAUUAUAAUAGUCCUUUCUAUUUUUUUAUGACAGGAAAGAAAAACAUUGGCAACUUUUCUGGCUAUGUGUGGUUGACUUGUUUUUAAAUAAGAGCAAGACCUUCCGGUUUCCGUCUAUGGAUCGUUUCUUGAAAGAUGCAAGAGCUUCCGGUUCCCUCAACCUCUCCAACCGUUCACUAAGUGAAGUGCCAAAUGAAGUAUACAAAAGCAUGGAUGCUAUUGGAGGCAGUGAGAAAUGGUGGGAGACCGUGGAGCUACAGAAGCUUAUUUUAGCGCAUAAUAACAUUGAAUCGUUGAGGGAAGAUCUCAGAAACUUGCCUUUAUUGUCUGUACUUAAUGUUAGACACAAUCCCUCCCGCCGGCUGCCAUAGGCGAGCUUCACAUGCUAAAAUCAUUAGAUGUUUCAUUUAACAUGAUAUCCAGCAUACCUGAAGAAAUUGGAUCGGCAACUGCUUUGGUCAAGUUUAAAUGCUCAAAUAAUCAACUAAAAGAUCUUCCAGGCUCCAUAGGACGUUGUUCAGAUUUGUCAGAGUUCAAAGUGGAGGCCGAAGAGAAGAUCAAGUAGAUAAAAAUCAUCCAUUCCAAAUUUUUAUUUCAUUUUUGUUGUUCAAAACUACUUUGUUUGUUUGAGAUUUUUGUGACUAUGAUAUGAUUUUAUUAAAUAAUUUUAUAAGAUAAUUUUGU